UUUUGAAAAAGAUUCCCUGGCUCUAAGACCAAGUCAAAGAUGGGAACUUUAUAGUUGAUUCUGAAAACUGUGCCUAAAAGAUGUUAGAAUCUGUUCUCUAGAUUGGGGUGGGGGAUGGAAAAUCGAUGGGAAAACCAAGGCAAAGG